UACGGAGGAUGCAAGCGUUAUCCGGAAUGAUUGGGCGUAAAGCGUCCGCAGGUGGCUAUGUAAGUCUGCUGUUAAAGAGUGAGGCUCAACCUCAUAAGAGCAGUGGAAACUACAUAGCUAGAGUGCGUUCGGGGCAGAGGGAAUUCCUGGUGUAGCGGUGAAAUGCGUAGAUAUCUGGAGGAACACCGGUGGCGAAGGCGGCAUCCUGGACCAACACUGACACUGAGGAGCGAAAGCCAGGGGAGCAAACGGG
rnacentral:rRNA from 1 species